GAUGAACGCUGGCGGCGUGCUUAACACAUGCAAGUCGAACGAAGCACUAAAACUUGAUCCCUUCGGGGUGAAGGAGUUAGUGACUGAGUGGCGGACGGGUGAGUAACGCGUGGGUAACCUGCCUUAUACAGGGGGAUAACAGUUGGAAACGGCUGCUAAUACCGCAUAAGCGCACAGUGCUGCAUGGCACAGUGUGAAAAACUGAGGUGGUAUAAGAUGGACCCGCGUCUGAUUAGCUGGUUGGUGAGGUAACGGCUCACCAAGGCGACGAUCAGUAGCCGGCCUGAGAGGGUGAACGGCCACAUUGGGACUGAGACACGGCCCAGACUCCUACGGGAGGCAGCAGUGGGGAAUAUUGCACAAUGGGGGAAACCCUGAUGCAGCGACGCCGCGUGAAGGAAGAAGUAUCUCGGUAUGUAAACUUCUAUCAGCAGGGAAGAAAAUGACGGUACCUGACUAAGAAGCCCCGGCUAAUUACGUGCCAGCCGCCGCCGUAACAC
rnacentral:rRNA from 1 species